UACGAAGGGGGCUAGCGUUGCUCGGAAUCACUGGGCGUAAAGGGUGCGUAGGCGGGUCUUUAAGUCAGGGGUGAAAUCCUGGAGCUCAACUCCAGAACUGCCUUUGAUACUGCCGGACUAGAGUUCGGAAGAGGCGAGUGGAAUUCCCGGUGUAGCGGUGAAAUGCGCAGAUAUCGGGAGGAACACCUAUGGCGAAGGCAGCUCGCUGGGACGUUACUGACGCUGAGACGCGAAAGCGUGGGGAGCAAACAGG
rnacentral:rRNA from 1 species